rnacentral:rRNA from 1 species
ACUCAAAUGAAUUGACGGGGGCCCGCACAAGCAGCGGAGCGUGUGGUUUAAUUCGAGGCUACACGAAGAACCUUACCUGGGCUUGACAUACGGCGAGUAGUGAACCGAAAGGGGAGCGACCGCAAGGAAGCCGUACAGGUGCUGCAUGGCUGUCGUCAGCUCGUGCCGUGAGGUGUUAGGUUAAGUCCUGUAACGAGCGCAACCCUCGGGUGCAGUUACAUGUGUCUGCACCGACUGCCCGUGACAAGCGGGAGGAAGGUGGGGAUGACGUCAAGUCAGCAUGGCCUUUAUGUCCAGGGCGACACACACGCUACAAUGGCUGGUACAAUGGGUUCGCCAAGCCGCAAGGUGGAGCCAAUCCAGCAAAGCCAGUCUCAGUUCGGAUUGGGGGCUGCAACCCGCCCCCAUGAAGUCGGAGUUGCUAGUAACCGCGCAUCAGCCAUGGCGCGGUGAAUACGUUCCCGGGCCUUGUACACACCGCCCGU